rnacentral:lncRNA from 1 species
AAGAAAUAGAAGCAGAGAUAAUAUCUGGAGUCCCAUAGUCUUGGAUCUUUAUGCAGAAUACAAUUCCUGUGAUGUUCCCGCCUUCUUAUUUCUCUGAAGACAAUCGCAGCAGGGAGAAGGAAUAUAUGCUUGUUGCCUCCAUUGCUUCCAUGUCAACCACAUGAUGUGUGCAGCGCGGAUCUCAUCUGACACCUGAGGACACAGGACUCUGGGAGAUUUAAAUCCUCAGGAAAAAGGUUAGGAAAACACAGAACUGGUACCCAAGCUGAGGUCCUGUGGCCCCAUUGCCACUGAGGGAGAGCAGGAGGAAGGAGGAGGUUGCAGCUGAUCUUCCAAGGUCCCCUGAAGUCCACUCUGGCAAACAGCUCUCCUAUUUGUGAAACCAGGUGAGGGAUGGCAUGUGGCCAAGCUGUGGACACCACCUGUGUUCAGCUCCCU